GGGUCGGUGCCCGAGUGGCCAAAGGGAGCGGACUGUAAAUCCGCCGGCUUCGCCUACGGAGGUUCGAAUCCUCCCCGGCCCACCA
rnacentral:tRNA from 1 species